AAUAAUGGUAGCUCAGGCGGGGGCUUCAUCAGAAGCGCUGGUACUCCGAGACCGGUAACGCUAACCCUGUCUGGGCCGCCACCCAA
rnacentral:antisense_RNA from 1 species